rnacentral:rRNA from 1 species
GACGCUGGCGGCUGCCCUUACACAUGCAAGUUCGAACGGCAGACACGGGGUGUCAACCCUGGUGGACGAGUGGCGAACGGGUGAGUAACAUAUCGGAACGUGCCCUGGAGUGGGGGAUAACUAGUCGAAAGACUAGCUAAUACCGCAUACGAUCUACGGAUGAAAGUGGGGGAUCGCAAGACCUCAUGCUCGUGGAGCGGCCGAUAUCUGAUUAGCUAGUUGGUGGGGUAAAGGCCUACCAAGGCAUCGAUCAGUAGCUGGUCUGAGAGGACGACCAGCCACACUGGGACUGAGACACGGCCCAGACUCCUACGGGAGGCAGCAGUGGGGAAUUUUGGACAAUGGGCGCAAGCCUGAUCCAGCAAUGCCGCGUGAGUGAAGAAGGCCUUCGGGUUGUAAAGCUCUUUUGUCAGGGAAGAAACGGCGCUGGCUAAUAUCUCCUGCUAAUGACGGUACCUGAAGAAUAAGCACCGGCUAACUACGUGCCAGCAGCGGGGGG